CUGUAAAGUCCCUUUAUGCGGCCGGAACUUGGUUGCCCUCCCUUUCGGAAGAAGACACCGUCGCCGCCUUUCAUCCGUUUCUACAAUUAGUAAGCCUUCCAAUUCCCUUAUUUUCUCGAAUAUAAGUUGUGUUUCCACUAGAAUCGGUGUAUUGGUCUUGUUUGGGUGAAUUAAGGGUUAGGGUUUUAUCUUUAGAGGAGAAUUGGGGAUUUAUAUGGCUGCCGGAAGACAUGGUGGAUAUAGAGACGACGAAUUUAGGGGCCAGGGUUUGGAAUUUGAGGUUUCAAGGAGGGAAGUUGGUUACUCAAAGAGAAAUUAUGAUGGAUUUCGUAACGGCGAUAGCGGGGUUAGGUUAAGACGAAUGAAUUUAAAAGAAAGAGAGAUGAUGAGUAAUUCAGGUAGAAGUGACCGUGAGCCCGGGGAAUUAUCAUCGUCCAGCGAGAGUGUUUCUGAUGACCAGGCCAGCAAUUCGGACAAUGGAGACCAGCUACCUGUACAGAGCAAAAUAAGAAAAUUUUCACCCGUUAUUUGGGAUAAUAAAGAUGCUAAGAAAGUGAAUAGAAUGUCAAAUAUUAGUACAAUUUCACUGGUAGCUGCUAAGGUGCAGAACUAUUCUAUGACUAAUAAUAAUACAGAGCAGUCCCAGCUUAGGGUGAAGGCUAUACCUGUUUCCCACCAAGUUACUUCUGAAUUUCCUGACCACAUAUCUUUGACGCCUCCUGUUGAGGUGCGAUCGAGCAAUGAACAAGAAGCGAAAAUACUUGAACAUGAUGAAUAUGUGCAUAUACGAGCGUCUCGAUGGGUGACUGAUGUUGAUGAUUUCCCAGUUGACGACAAUAAAAUUCCUCGAUUAAAGAGUAGGAAACUAGGGUCAUGGUUGACUGAAACAGGUGGGCGUAGGAAAUCACUGACCCCUGAACUUGGGAACCCCAAGAAAAAUAGGGCGCAGUCCUCAGAAUCUGAUGAUCAUAUUAGGUCUUCUAGUAGAGAUAGUUACCAGGAAAAUAAUUUAGACAAGAAUGACUCCAUGGAUGUGGAUAAGGACCGUAAUUAUGAUGAUACUAGUGUUAGCCAAUCAGAUACAGAAUACGAACACGAGCAUGAUUCUUGUGGUGUACUAGAAGCUUCGUUCCCUCCUCAAAGGAGUGUAAACAUGCUUCAGGGGUGUAGAAGCGUGGAUGAAUACGAGAGGCUUAACAAGAUAGAUGAAGGUACAUAUGGAGUUGUUUACAGAGCUAGAGAUAAGAAGACAGGAGAAAUUGUUGCUCUAAAGAAGGUUAAAAUGGAAAAGGAACGAGAAGGGUUUCCUUUGACAUCUCUAAGGGAGAUAAACAUUCUCCUCUCUUUCUACCAUCCCGCAGUUGUAGAUGUUAAAGAAGUAGUUGUAGGGAGCAAACUUGACAACAUUUUCAUGGUGAUGGAAUACAUGGAGCAUGACCUGAAGGCGUUAAUGGAGACAAUGAAACAACGAUUUACCCAAAGUGAAGUCAAAUGCCUUAUGCUCCAGCUUUUGGAGGGUGUCAAGUAUCUUCAUGAUAACUGGGUGCUUCACCGAGAUCUGAAGACUUCAAAUUUACUUUUAAAUAACCAAGGUGAGUUGAAGAUUUGUGACUUUGGAUUGGCUCGUCAAUAUGGGAGCCCCCUGAAAACGUAUACUCAAUUGGUGGUUACUUUGUGGUACAGGGCACCUGAACUUCUUUUGGGAGCGAAACAAUAUUCCACUGCUAUUGACAUGUGGUCAUUGGGUUGUAUCAUGGCUGAAUUGCUGAGGAAAGAACCGCUUUUCAAUGGGAAAUCAGAAGUUGAUCAACUUAACAAGAUUUUCAGAAUCCUUGGCACCCCAAAUGAGACGAUAUGGCCGGGAUUUUCCAAACUCCCUGGGGUGAAAGUCAACUUUGUAAAGCAUAAGCUUCCAGCUUUGAGUGAUUCUGGUAUAACUUGCUAAGAAAGGAAUUUCCGGCCACAUCCUUCAUGGAACCUGGACUAUCUGAUGCUGGUUUUGACCUGUUGAACAAGCUACUCACUUAUGAUCCGGAUCAGUGACAAACUGCAGAGGAUAACUGCUGAAGCUGCGUUGAACCAUGAGUGGUUUCGUGAAGUUCCUCUUCCCAAGUCCAAAGAAUUCAUGCCUACCUUCCCUGCACAGCAUGCGCAAGACAGGCGUACGCGAAGAGUAGUGAAGAGUCCAGAUCCGCUAGAGGAGCAGCGAAGAAAGGAAUUGCAGCAGGGGGAGUUGGGGACUGGUGGCUUGUUUUGCUAAGAUAAUUGAAUAGCAUGCAGUAACUGUUGGUGUUUUGUCUAAUACUCAGGGUCGAUGUGGUUAAGGUUAGAGAGCCAUGCGUUGAAAGGAAGAUGCAAAACUUGUUUUGACGAUCACUUGUGUUGUUCUUUUAGCAGGGCACUUUUGACAGUAUAUCGCGGAAAAAAUGCUUUGACUAUUGUACAUGUCUCAGAUUUUGUUGCAGGUUGACUAUCACUGGGCGCUGGAACCUUAUCAUGUAACUGCUUGCAUGGCUGGGUGGCGUAGUCAGUUUAUCUAUUAAGGAACUGUUUCCAAGGAAACUCGUGUAUGUAACAUAUUUCGAUUAAACAAUUUUCUCGCAAUUGAUUUGGAUACCUGAGUAUUUUGGAUUAUAUCGUAUAUUUAGCUACAUAUGUUUUGAUCUUUA